GGACCGGUAGCUCAGGGGUAGAGCAACCGGCUGCAGUUAUCUAUCUGUUAAUCUCCGGUAGGUCUCGCGUUCAAAUCGCGAUCGGUCCU